GGAUGGAAGUCAGUCUUGUUGGGCAAUUCAACCUUUUUCCACUCACAGUUUCAUCUCUUCGCUUCAUAGCUCUUGUUCUUUCAGACUGCAGUCUUCGACCUGCAAGUAAUGUGCUUUCAUCAACUCCUUAUCCCACUUGUGAAAUCUGCCUAUCACUUGCUUCUCCUCUUCCUUCUUCCUCUUCUCCACCAGCUUCUCGUCAGGACACCCCAAAAUGUUCCUACAAAGCCUGCACUUUCUUGCACCUAUACAAGAACACCAUCUGUGAAAUCUAUGGCACUAGCACAGUUGAAUCGAGCAGCUUUCGAGGAGUUAAAAGUCUCCAAUAAAACAGUUGAUGUGAAGGAUGGGGGGGUGCUCGGGAUUGUGUUAAAUUGGGUGGCUUUCAAGGGUUUGGGGCAUCAAACAAAGCUGUGACCGUUGUAAAUGGUGAAUUAGAAUUUGGAGAUUUUCAAAUUCCUUCAGGUCACAUGUGUUUCUUGCAAUUGCAGAUGAGAUCGUUUUUGUUUACAAUUAGUUUGAUUAGAACUCGAAUUUGAGACUUAGUAAUGAAAAAGUUUCCAAUACAUUAGUAGAGAUGACAUUUUAGCAAUUAGCGGAAGUUAGUUAUGCUUUAUUAGUUAACAAAUGAGUAAGGACACGACUUUUGUUUUCAUUGGUCUAGUCAAUGUAUAUAAGUUGACUGCGUAGACUUUAGUCUGUAAACAGAUAACAAAAGUCAGUUCUCUUUUUUCUUUCUUCCUCAAGCUUGCUUCACCAAUCCACAUGGUAUCAGAGCAGGAAGAAUAGAAAUUCCCAAACUAAAAAACCAUAAUUGAAACAAUUUCUUGUGAUAUUAGAUUUGCAUCUGUUGAUAAGGGAUGGAAGAGGUGAACAAUACCAGGAAGAGAGACCGAAAGUUGGUGAGAACUCGAGAUGAAGAUACUAGCAGAGUCAAUAGCGAAGCUGCGAGGAACAGAGAUCGAGAGUUGAUGAGAACUCGAGAUCAAGAUACUGGCAGAGUCAAUAGCGAACCUCUGGGGAAUUUUGCAGGUCAAGGCUCAAAUGGACAGAGUCUUUCUGAUGAAGAUCCACUGUGUUUGCAUAGCUCUGAUCAUCCUGGCAUGGUGCCCGUUACUGCACCUCUUAUAUAUGAUGAGAGCAAAACGCCAAUGGUCUAUCAAAUUCAAAGGCAAAUUGCCUCAAUUUCCCAAGAAAACAUGUCUGUCACUGUUUACUAUACUAAACUCAAGAAGCUGUGGGAUGAGUUGAACUCCAUAGAUCCAAUUCCGUCUUGUACUUGUGGAACAGCGAAGUAUAUUUCGGAUUUAUUCAAUCGCAAUAAGGUCAUGCAGUUUCUUAUGGGCCUAAACGAGGGUUAUGAUCAAGCAAGAAAUCAGAUUCUUCUUCUUGAUCCUCUUCCCAACAUAAACGAAGUUUAUUCGAUGAUUCUGAAAGUGGAGUCACAGAGGCAGGUGUUUAAUGACUUUUCUGAAAGUGCAGGUUCAGUUUCAACGAUGGUUAAACCUGCUGGUAUUUAUAUAAUUCCUAGUAAAAGAGACAGGGAGUUGACACGAAAAGAAAAGGGGCACUGUGAUUAUUGUAAUAUGGAUGGGCAUAAAAGGGAGAGUUGUUUCAAACUGACAGGAUAUCCAGAGUGGUACUCAAAGGAUCGUAACAAGACUCAACCAAAAAUGGCAGCUAAAGUUUCAACAACUUUUCAUGGUUCUAAUUUUGGAAGUGAAACACCACUUGAUGAUCAUAUUGAUAAUAUUGAUUCUUCUUUGAUCAACACUGGAUAUGAAGAGAAAGAAUCAGCCUUGGCUACUUUGAAGCAGCAAAUGAUGAAACUAUUGCAAGGAAAAGGAAUUGAGUCCCAGUCUCAACUUGCUGCCACCAAUUUGACUGAGGACAUCAGUUCAUCUGCCAUUUUGAGUUCAAUCAAGAUUUUAAGCUACAAUGUUUGGUUUCGUGAGGAUCUGGAGUUGAAUGAGAGGAUGAAAGCUCUUGGUGACCUUAUUCAACUGCAUUCACCAGAUGUGAUUUGUUUUCAGGAGGUUACUCCAAAUAUAUAUGACAUAUUUAGGCAGUCCAGCUGGUGGAAAGCAUAUCGGUGCUCUGUUGCAAAUGAGGUGGCGUAUUUAAGACCAUACUUUUGCAUGCUGGUAAGCUUUUCCAUCCACCACUGUAAACACGCAUGCUUUGUAUAUUAAUCAUCAUGAUACAAUGUUGUCAGGUCAGCAAGAUUUAUUAAAAAGUCUGUUGCACAGUAUAUCUAUCAAAAAUGUAAAAUGUUUAUCUCCAUUUCAAUUCAGCAUUUCAGCUAGAAGCUUAUGAACUGUUUCUCCUUGUCAGCAAUUGCAUUUGAAGCUUGUAAUCGAACUUUAGUUGUAGCAGUGUGAGAACCAUUAUACUAGCUUGAAAGUGAUGUGUUAAGUCUACUCCCGCUUGCAUGCCUUGGGAUUUCUGAUAUAUCACUUUUCUUUUUCUUUUUGUUUUUUGGAUUGGAACCCCCAUCCCAAAAGCAUUAGUUAAUGUCAAUCAUACAUUGAUCUGCUGGCCAUUGAAGGUGCUUUACAAUGUCAGUAGCUAUUUGUCAGGCUUUAUAGUGAUAUACUGAUCCAGGCAUCCAGCUCAUAUAAAUAAUGUCAGCAUUCAUUUUACUAUGGUUGAUAUAUUUUUGUGCAGUUAAGCAAACUUCCAGUAAAAUCCUUCAGCUCAAGGCCUUUUAACAAUUCUGUAAUGGGGAGAGAGCUUUGCAUUGUUGAGCUUGAAGUUCAGCCUAACAAGCAUUUGGUGGUUGCCACAAGCCAUCUUGAAAGUCCCUGCCCUGCACCUCCAACAUGGGAUCAGAUGUUCAGCAAGGAACGUGUAGAUCAGGCUAAGGAGGCCAUCAACCUUCUCAUGAAGAAUGCAAAUGUGAUCUUUGGUGGGGACAUGAACUGGGAUGACAAAUUAGAUGGUCAUUUUCCUUUACCUGAUGGAUGGAUUGAUGCAUGGGCUGAGUUAAGACCAGGGGAAAAUGGCUGGACAUAUGAUACCAAGUCCAAUCAAAUGUUGUCAGGGAACCGAACAUUGCAAAAGCGACUUGAUCGAUUUAUAUGCAAUCUGCAUGAUUUCAGAAUAAGUAAAAUUGACAUGAUUGGCAUGGAAGCAAUACCAGGUUUGUCACAUAUCAAGGAGAAGAAAGUAAGGAAAGAGGUCAAGAUGCUGGAGCUCCCUGUUUUUCCAAGUGAUCAUUAUGGCUUGCUUCUAACAAUUUCUGGCCAGUAGUCUUUAAUAGUUCAGGCAGAUGGUUGGGAAAAGAUCAAACUCAAUUCCUUGCAUUUUGUACAGAACAAAUGAAAUGAUGUGAAGGCUUGAGAGCAUUUUGGGAAGCAUAUAGCUACCAGUUUUGUGUUACCCUCCUUGGAUGGAGAUGAUAUAACAUCUUUAGUUUCUUGAAUCAACUUUCUCUCGUCAUCCUUAACAUCAAUGUGCAGAAUAUCCAAAAUUUUUGUCAUUGCUCAGGGGUUCUGUUAAUCGAUAGUAGUUUCUACUUAAUGAAUUGAAGUGAAAUUGGCAGUUUGUUAGAUUGCCAAUUACUGAGAGGAAUUGUUGACUUAAUGACCAGCUGUGAUUCGUUUCCUUUAGGCAUUUCUUGUUUAAAUUGUGCUCUGUUUGCAUGCAGCAUACACGAACACAGGAUCGCACAAACAAGAGCACAUAGGGUGUC
rnacentral:misc_RNA from 1 species